rnacentral:rRNA from 1 species
AGUCGAGCGGUAAGGCCCUUCGGGGUACACGAGCGGCGAACGGGUGAGUAACACGUGGGUGAUCUGCCCUGCACUUCGGGAUAAGCCUGGGAAACUGGGUCUAAUACCGGAUAUGACCUUCGGCUGCAUGGCUGAGGGUGGAAAGGUUUACUGGUGCAGGAUGGGCCCGCGGCCUAUCAGCUUGUUGGUGGGGUAAUGGCCUACCAAGGCGACGACGGGUAGCCGACCUGAGAGGGUGACCGGCCACACUGGGACUGAGACACGGCCCAGACUCCUACGGGAGGCAGCAGUGGGGAAUAUUGCACAAUGGGCGAAAGCCUGAUGCAGCGACGCCGCGUGAGGGAUGACGGCCUUCGGGUUGUAAACCUCUUUCAGCAGGGACGAAGCGAAAGUGACGGUACCUGCAGAAGAAGCACCGGCU